AACGAACGCUGGCGGUAUGCUUAACACAUGCAAGUCGAACGGACUUAUUAGAGCUUGCUUUAAUAAGUUAGUGGCAAACGGGUGAGUAACACGUGGGAAUCUACCCAUCAGUACGGAAUAACAUUUGGAAACAAAUGCUAAUACCGUAUAUUCUCUACGGAGGAAAGAUUUAUCGCUGAUGGAUGAGCCCGCGUUAGAUUAGGUAGUUGAUAGGGUAAUGGCCUACCAAGCCGACGAUCUAUAGCUGGUCUGAGAGGAUGAUCAGCCACACUGGGACUGAGACACGGCCCAGACUCCUACGGGAGGCAGCAGUGGGGAAUUUUGGACAAUGGGCGCAAGCCUGAUCCAGCAAUGCCGCGUGCAGGAAGAAGGCCU
rnacentral:rRNA from 1 species